ensembl:misc_RNA
UCGCUUUACUCUCACGAGCUUGUGGGCUCCACCUGCCCAGCGCCCAGGCAAAUGCCCAUCUGACUUCCAUCGUGGCCAUAGAACGAGAGACAACAAUGACACUAAUAAUACAGAAGACUGUUC